UUUUAGGUAACGUGUUAUAAUAAACUGAAAUCAGAGUUUAAACUUUAAACGAAACACUUCAUUUUUUUUUUCUUAAAGCUGGAAUGUGUUACAGAAGAUCUGUAAUAGCUGGCUGACGAGGCGAGAGAGAUUUUCUCCCUUUGACUCUUUCUCACAGUGUGAGGAAUGAUGCCUGGAGGAGCAUGUGCACCAAGCGAGCGCUUGUUUGGAGUUUGCUGGUCCUCUCUGUCUUUCAUAUGGGACUCGGGGUGUCCUGCAUCUCUCUGGGUGUGCUGGGGAUCACACAACCCCGCAGGCUACAGAAAAGCCAAACCUCCUUCUACACACCGAUAUGGAGCGGCGUGUGUUUUCUUGUCUGUGGACUGUGUGGGAUACUGUGUGCGAAGAAAAGAACUGGACUGACUAUGAUCCUGUUUUCAGCUUGUUGCAUUUGUGGACUUAUUGGGGGAAUCCUCAACGUCCAGUUUGUGCGUGCAAUGGUGAAACGGGCGAACAGCCUGUACUAUCUGCACCUGGCCUUCCUCUGCCUGGCCAGCCUGGGCAUCUUGAGCUGCACCCUCUCCACCUGGCUCACCUGCAGACUCGCCAGCUGUGAACAGAAAAGACUGUUUCUGGAAAGGGGUCUGUCGCUGCAUCAUUCUGUGGAGUGCAUGGGCGAGAAGGAAGUUCCAGUGAAGCAUGCCACGCACAACAGGAGCACCUCACUACCAUAAAGCUGCCAUAAACCCUCGGAUCUGCAUCCAGGUCUCCUCAGAAAGACUUACUUUAUACCCUGUUCUAAUAACCAGACUGUGUUCAAAGCACCUUACAAAAUCGCUAAUCAAGGAUCUGGUACUGACCUUACUGCAGUCACAGAAGGAAAAUCCCAAGCUGUUACUUGAUAACCAAGGAGGACAAACAUUCCAGUGAAUGGCCUGGCUGCUAUUCGGAAUUUACAAUACAACAGCUCCAUCUGCCGGUGAAAGGUGUCAGCGGCUGAGUGGAGCUAUGAAUGCCUAAGCAGUAAACAAUCACAGAUUACCUGCGAUGUGACUAUACAGAGCCACUGAGAACUCGGGGUAACCUGCACCAGUGGGAUGUUCUCUCCAUAACUGCCUCUCUGAGCAUUAAACCACACAGCAAUCACAAUAUGAGGUCACGUUGACGCUGUAGCAGCUGAGGUCUGCCAACCCCGCCUAUAAUGGAGAACACAGACAUGGAGAAGUGCACUGAAGGAUGUGGUCAGAGGGAGAUGAGGCUUACCAAAUGUGAAAGCCAAGAGCUGGGAAAACUCGAGGACCAAUGCGCCGACACAAUGCUAGAUUCCUUCAUAAUCUUGGGGAAAACUGCAAAUGUUCCAACAGAGGUCAUGGCUAUUAUCGAGAGAAGGCCACGGACAGC